UCUGAAACCAAGAUUUUCUACAAC
rnacentral:snRNA from 1 species